AACUAAUCUCGUCUGUGGCCUCAAACUGGUUCUUAAGCUUUGUGGUCAGACUCCUGGAGAGUCUAUGAAGCGGCGGUCCCCAAGCUACGUCCCAUAUUUCAGAAGAAGCCUAACACUUCUCGUGAGCCUUCAGAAAGGCCAACCAUUAAACUAAUUUAUUAGGUUUCUUUGUUUGGGGCUGGAAUUAUCUCAACUCAGUAAGAAUGUGGGUGGCAGCUAGGUGCAAUAAUGAAAAAGGGAGGAAGAACAGGCUAACUUCUGUUUAUUUAACUAAAUUUUAUUUAAUAAGUAAAUCAGGAAAAUUUCUUUCCCAAAACGUAUCCGCUUCCUCACUGAGAAAUAAAAAGAUUCUGGGGGGUGAAAACCUUCCAUCUAGACAGAAGGCAGCUUAUUUCCUGUUGCAGUUCCAGACCUGACCACUAGAUGGUGCAAAGGGACCACACCACAGAGUUUGCAACCUCUCCCUCCACGAAAUCCUUUACCGUUAAUAAGCACAAUGAAAGCUUUCCAAAAGUAGAAAGAAUGAACAAUUGUGCUGGGACAUGAACAUUUUGCUUUUAUAAAAUUGGGACUCUGCCAUUUCAUUAUUGACACAAAAAUCUUCCGCCUCGCUUUCUUCCCACAUAUGCAGGUCCCAAAUCUACUCUCAUCUACUUGAAGGGGCCUGUAGAAGCCCGUGCAAAGUGGAUGCCCAAAAGUUGAAUUCGAAAAUUCUUUUUACCUUGCGCUGCCACACGUGUUUCCAUUAAUUUCACCUCAAUGUCGUGACGUAAAUGCUAGUGGAAUCGGCCCCAAGCUAAAUAAGCAAUGAGCCCCAUUUUUCAACACACAAACACAUAAAGAUGUCAGCUCAAACUGUUUACUAAUUAACACUUAAAAAGACACAAAUUAGAUAUGCGUGGCUAAGAGCAAUUAUAAUCAAGACGAAUUUCUCUAGUCAUUUGGGAACUGAGAAAAAUGCCUAAUUGCUGGAACCAAUGUUUUAAAAACUGAAAUGACGCCAGUUAGCAAAUAUGUUCAUUUAAAGAACAUUCCACGUGACUACACUCUUGAGGGUUGACUACAAACAUGAGAACAAGGAAAAUAUUUAGGUAUAAAAUUAAAAUUUUAAGCUCCCUCAGAUUUAUAACUUCUUCAUUAAAUACGUCUGCAGACAGCAGCCCAUAAAAACCUGUAGCAAUUAAGUGGUUAAAUGAACUGCCUCCCUUGUCAAUUUUAAGGGAGUGAUUAAUAUUAGAUCGUCCCUUUACUAAUUAGACUCUCCCGUGUCUUUCAGCUUUAAAGUCGGGUGAAAAUGGAGGCUGUGCGCCCUACAAGGAAGCACGGUGGGCUGAUAAAGCUUCCCUCGUCGUGCUCAGUUUUCAGUGUGGCGCCCACUGAAGGGAGGGGGCUGCUGCCUGGACUGUGGAGCUGGGACGCGUCUGCCUGCCUGUGACGGGGAAUCCAUCAGAUGGUGAAGUGGGUCAACUGCUUACAAGGGACAUAAAGAGCAGCAGAGACGGAGAAUAUUUAUACGUCCAUCUUCUCCGAGAGAAGAUGCUUCAUCACAGGGAUUGGCUGCAAAAUUACACUUUUCCUGACUCCUAAACAGAGACAACCUUUUGUCCGGGCAGCGGGAAGGACAGUAAGGCUUUCACUGGGACACGGUCCCCCAGGGCCACCACCACUCUCCUGCUGCUCAGCCCCAUGGGGGAGGGGCCUGGGCCAGAAAACCUCCCCAUCACUGCCACCGACACCUCCUGUGGCUGAGGGGAGAGGAGCAACAACUCACUUUCUCAUGCUUUGGACUAAUUUACACGGCAGAGGCCCUGCUCCCGGCCGGGGACGGACGUGGACGGCAGGGAAUAUGGCUGCUGGACAACAGGCUGGGCAGGAAGGAGGCUGGUGUCACCACUGAGCACCAGGAGAGUGAUGGCACUCAAGUGAGAAUUUCUUUAGUAAGCACCGCUUCGUCCACUGUCAACACCCACAGCUGAGAGUAGUUCUGAGUCGUGCGGAUUUGGCAUGCUACCCCAGGUAUCCAAACUCGCAAACUGUGCCCUCUCCACCCAACCACGUUGCCUCCACCGUGUACAUGGUCCACAUACGUCCCUGCAAACACCCGGUAUCUGCCCACCAACGUGGCGGGUGGCUCUAGUCCACACUGUUAGCCACACUGCCGGGGGGGGCGG